UUGCUUCUGUAGCACACAAAGUAAAAUUGGAAAAAGCGAACAGAAAAGAUUGACUUGGUCACUGUGCAAGGAUAGCAUACAAAUUUCUUAAGCAUUUAAUAUUUUU